CUAGUUUCACUCUAUCAUUUUCCGAGUCGUUACAGCCCGUUGUUGCGAUGAUUCAUGAUAACUCGAUGGAUCGCACGGCCAUCGUGCCGGCGACACAUCAUUCAAAUUUCUGCCCUAUCAACUUUCGAUGGUAGGAUAGUGGCAUGCCAUGGUUGUGAUGGGUGACGGAUAAUUAGGGUUCGAUUCCGGAGAGGGAGCCUGAGAAACGGCUACCACAUCUAAGAAAGGAAGCAGGCGCGCAUAUUACCCAAUCCUGACACGGGGAGUUAGUCACCAUAAAUAAAUAAUAAUACCGGGCUCUAUGAAUCUGGUAAUUGGAUUGAGUACAUAGCGUUGGAAAAUCUGCGGAUGGGAACUGGAUGGGAAGCGGAUGGG
rnacentral:ncRNA from 1 species